UACGAAGGGGGCUAGCGUUGCUCGGAAUCACUGGGCGUAAAGGGUGCGUAGGCGGGUCUUUUAAGUCAGGGGUGAAAUCCUGGAGCUCAACUCCAGAACUGCCUUUGAUACUGAGGAUCUUGAGUUCGGGAGAGGUGAGUGGAACUGCGAGUGUAGAGGUGAAAUUCGUAGAUAUUCGCAAGAACACCAGUGGCGAAGGCGGCUACCUGGCCCAACAUUGACACUGAGACCCCGAAAGCAUGGGG
rnacentral:rRNA from 1 species